UCCUCCCCUUCAGCAGUGGCGGUAAGAGCGAGGACAGAGAGCGCAUCUGAGUCAGACGCUGCGUCUCCCGUGGUUUGAGCAGACGAACGCUGUCGUGUCUCGCUGCCACUGAGUUGUGUGCGGUGCGUACCUGACGGUGCCGGUGGUAUGAGGUGAGAUGGCGCCCGAAGUGUGGACGCUCCUGCUCGCGCUCCUGCUCCCGGCCCUUGGCCACGCGCAGAGCGGAGGAGGAGAAACUGAUGGAGAUCCAGAUGCAGAGCCUGAUGUGCCUGAUAAGCCUGAUGUGCCUUGCUUUUCUGAGAUCAGCCUCAAAGUCAACUAUUUAACCUGUUCUUUACCUGACGACCCUAUUGGCACCCAAAUUAGUCUUCGCUCAGAGGAACGAAAUCCUAUGUGUUGGAAUUCAACUUUGAAUGGAUCUUAUUUUACUGCAGUCAUUGAUAACAUAUUGGCUAAACAUAUACUCACCAUUCAAGGCAAAGAGAGGAUUGAAAUAAAUAUGAUUGAUAUAGUCAAGCUUCCACCACCACAGAAUAUAACAGCCACAUAUUUGAAAAACUCAGGAGAUGUAAAAAUAAGUUGUAAUGGAUACAGGCAUGACUUUGUGAAACACUUCAAUUUUCUAGUGCAAAUCUGGAAUGCAACAAGUCGUAAGAACUAUACGUACUCAUAUGAGGAUUUCAUCAUUGAACGUGAACAGCUUGGAGAUGUGAAGACUGGCUCACAGUUUUCGGUGAGAGCAUUGGUCAAACCGGGCGGAACUAUUUCAGUGGACCCUGGUCAGAUUGGAGCCAUACGAAAAACUUCACAGUGGACAGAGCUUUCAUAGUGGCUCUUUUAGUUGAUGAAAAAGAUGGUGCCCUAUUGUACUCCAUUAUCUUUUCCACCAUCGCCAUACUGCUGCUUGGCAUCUGCCUGAUCACCCGGUUCCGGAGGAAGAAACUUAAAGCCUACAUCUUGCCAAAUGUGCCACAUCCCAAGACGACCCUCGUCCAUAUGCAGAAAUUUAACAAGGGCCUGCUUCUGAAUUUCAACCCGGAGAUCUUCAGCGACCUUCACAUCAACCAGCUGGACGAGGCAGGGGAGGACAAACCACUCGCCGAGUCCACUGACGGACGAGGAGCUGACAACCAGAGCCGCUGCCCAAGUCAACUCAGCCAGGUCCUCCUCUGGCAGGUUCCGCCGGGCGACGGCAGCUCCGACGGGUCACAGUGCACACUGCGGGGCGAGGACGGGCCGCUGGAGGACCGGCGAGACUGGGCGGACGUGUCCAGCGCGGGGCUGAGGUUCCUGGGGGAGGCGGCCCCCACAGUGGACUCUGGACACAGCUCUGGAGACCCCUCCUUGACGAGCACCUGUGUACCGCAGCGAGAAUGUAAGGACGAGGCCUACGUCACAAUGUCUUGCCUCUUCAAGACACAGUAGGUUUGGAGAGAAGUCAGAUGAAAGGAAUGGGAUGUUUUACAGCCUACUGGUUUUCCUUAUGACCAUGCAGCAGCCUGCCAGCAACCAGUUCAGCUGAUCAGUCUAACAAAUGGCUGAUCGGUUGCCUCAGGUUUGAUCCUGUUCAGGUGAACAUAAAAAACUAUGGUCACACAGACUCUGGUUCAACAUGGCCGACCUGUAGCUGCUUAUUUUUCUUCCAUGCAAGGGAAUGAUCAACUGCUGCUUGUUAAGGUUUUAUAGUUCAUGCAAACAGUCCAUGAACCUCUGCGAAUUGCACCAGUUGUUACCACAACCACUACCGGACAUUUCCAAUAGGAACCGACACUGUACCUGCUCCAGAGAGGAGAGAUGGAUUUCACUGAAGCGUUAAUUAACUUUCGCACAACACUGCUUAUUAGCGGCCAUCUAAAACUGAAACAAGUUCUAAAACUGUCACCAGACAUGCUGUCACUAGCAUGCUUAUUUCUCGAGUCAUAUCAGCAACAUGAUUGGGAUAGUUGCCUUGUGGGAUCCAACACAAAUUCCACUUUAUCUGCUCAGGUUUUUUUUUUUAAUGCUCUAAACUUUUUUGUAAAGAGCGUCUGAAUGUAGCACAGGUAUGUGUUCAGCUAAUUGUACAAACCUUGAUCCUGCAAAUGAAGUGGCUUGCUUGUACUUGUGCUCUACAUACUAUUCUAACACAAUUUGCACUUACAGUUACUUCCAUAUUCUCAAAAUCAUUGUCAUAUAUUACAAUGUUUUGUUGUAGACACCUUAUUGUUUUUGUUUAUGGUAUGGUUUUAAAGGUUAAAUGUAGUAUUUUAUUGUCAUAUACAUACAUGCUUCAAGAGGUUGAACGGUAAUGUUUGAGGACAGAGUAACCAUUGUCCAUUCCAAUGUUCCUUUGCAUGCAGUGCAUACUUGUCUGUUUCACCACAUGUAACUGCACUAGUUCAACAAAGAAUCAAGAUGAACAGCAUGCAAAGCAACAAUUUUUUUAACAGCAAUUGCACAAUUAAGGCACGCCAAGAAGCAUUGUUAUGUUUUACAAAUAAACUACUUCUUGGCCCUUU